CUCUAUCCAACCACCACCACCACCACCACCACCACCACCACCACUUUAAUUCAUUGUCACAUACGAAGGGUGGGGCCGGAGAUUAUUUAUCGCGGGUCCCACACAUGUGAGAAGGAUGUCAGGUAGUGUCUCCACUUUUUUCACCAUUUUCAUCUUGCCUUCUCUAAUAUGAAAGAAACAAAGUGUGCACUAUCUAUAGCAUUCAUGGCACUCCUCUUAAUGUCCCAAAGUUUUCCUUCGUCAGCUCAUCAAACUAUCACUAAAUCACCAAAUGGAAUUCAAAGUCGAAACUCGGUUGCUAUCGACUCUCGAAAUCUUGGCGUGCAAAUUAAAAGGAGGGUACGCAUAAUACCAACCUCUGCCGGCACUGCUUCUCAUGCAAAACCAAAAUCAUCAGCAAAUCGUAAGGACAAAUCUAUGUUUCAACUGUGUUCUCUUCUCGGUGUUUCCAUUUUCUUUGGCUUUUUCUUGAUCUAAAGAUUUGCCCCUUUUUAGUUAUUACUUCACCUGCAUCAUCUCCCUUUGCUCGUGAGCAGUUUGGAAGUAAAUGAAAAUGGAAAAACUCAUUUUAGAUUGUUGUAAUAUGUUUUAUGUCCUUUGUUAUAUUGCGUGAUAUGAAACAGAUUAAGGUCUUGAGUUCAAGUCGAUGAUUUGUUAUGAAAAUUUCUCGUAAUAACUUGUGCAGACGAAGGAACAUUUGAAAAACAAAACAUACAUGAAUAAAUUUCUUUAUUUUUCCAAUAAUCAGAUGAAGUGAUAAAAUGUGUUCAAAGGA
rnacentral:lncRNA from 1 species